GAUGAAGAACGCAGCAAAUCGCGAUAUGUAGUGUGACUUGCCUAUAGUGAAUCAUCAAAUUUUUGAACGCAUCUUGCACCCCUGGGUAUUCCUGGGGGUACGCCUGUUUCAGUAUCAUUUUUAACUUCCCCUACAUUUUUUUUUUGUGGUGGAAAAAUUACUAUUGGCCGUAGAGACUUUGGGAAGGGGGGGGAAUUUCGGUUCCCCUCCCCCCCCCAAUGCUUCACGGCUUAAAUAUGCUCGGUCAAAUUGACUGGUGAUUACCUUUUGGUAGAUUUUUUUUUUCUGCAUAAAAAGUAGCCCCACCGGUCGAUUUUUUGACUGAACCCAACUCAACUUGAUCUGAAAUCAGGCGGGAUUACCCGCUGAACUUAAGCAUAUCAAUAAGCGGAGGA
rnacentral:misc_RNA from 1 species